GCGGGGGGGGGAGUCUUCUCCAAGUAACGGUAAAAAUAUUCUCCAACGACAAAAACAUCUGAGAACGAAUUCUUCUCUCAGGGGCUGAAAGGAAAAGCAGAGCUUCACCUCCUUUCCCAGGGAGCCCAGCAGCCAUCGCUGACCGCCUCCCUGGGGCCCUCUCCAACUCUGAAGGGCAGGAAGCCGGCCCUCCUGGAAGCAGAGCCAGGCUGCAGGCCGAGCUUCCCUUGCACAUUUCCUGGAGGGCCGCCCAGCAACCAAAUCACCACCAAAUAUGGGCAGAAAAAUGCAUGAAUCAGAGGAUAAAAAAGCCAAGGAGAGCUGCCCUGAGGAAUAGUUUCCACUCAGCACUGUGUGACCCUGGGGGCACCAGCAGAAGCCCUGCAAAGGACAGAGGGGCUGGGGGCUAGAGGCUGGGACCUAGGGCGGGACUCUGUCCUGCCUCCAAGCCCAGAGGCCUGCACAGGAAGGACCAUGUGCAGCAGGGACGGUCUGAUAGUAGCCCUCAGAGGUCCUCAGAGGCCCCUUCAGCCCUGCAGGGCUGGCAGAGGACACUGCAGAGCUGCUGGCUGCAACCCCUGGGGAGAAGAGGUGAACAGAAUUUUCUGCGGGGGCGUUAAGAACAGGCGGCCUUCUCCUCCCAGCCCCACAUUCCAGGGGCUGGGCCCAAAUCCCAAAGCCUCCCAGACUCCGGAGGGUUCCCUGGGCCAAGGGAAAAUAGGACCCGGGGGAAGGGGCUUCACAUUGAAGUCACAGGAUUCCUGGCAAGAGCAAUUUCAAACCGGGAUCUGGACUCGUUCCCCCGUCCCAACCCCCUGAGAAGUCCUAGAAGCUACAGCUAUUUAGGCCUCCAUUGGGGGCAUUAGGUAGGGAUGGGGUAGGUUCCUGCUUUUCACCCACUGCUGUCGGGACUGCAUGCUUCCCGCCAAGCAGGCUGUCUGCAUAUGGCAAGGGCAUUUCUGAACAACCGGAAAGAGAUCGACAUAUGCCAUCUGCAUGGCAUGUGGCGAGAUGGUGGCCAAGUCACCUUAGGGUCUACGAGGGGCGCAGAACUCUGACCCCCUGGCUGGCUAAUCACACAAACAAUUCAAAUUCCAAAAUGGACGAAUGGAAUAGGAGCUUCAGGAAGUUUUCCGAAGCCCGUGGGAUCACCAUCCUUCUGGCAUUCCUCUGUGUGCCUUACCUACCCAGGGGCCCAGAGGGAAGGAAGGGCUCCAGGGGUCUGAGAUGCAGGCGGAUGACUUCUGCUGUGUGAGCACAUGGGUGGUCCCUCUGGCACAUGGCCCGAUACUCCUUCUACCUCGAGCGACUGCUUGUGGUUAGAGGGUUCAGGUGGCCACCACCACGGACACCCUAGGGCAUCUCGGGGUCAGGCCGACUUCCUGUCCCUUCUCAGCCUCACUUACUCCAACCUCCCAGAACAAAGCUGGAAAGCAAUCUCCCUAUCGGGCUCCCCACCCUUUUCUCCCUCCCAGUCAGGAAAAUGAGUGUUUCCUGAGAAAGUACAAACAUCAAGUUCUUUGCGCAGGGGCCUCGAGUGCCCUGCUCACAGCCCUGCAAGUUCCUCUUAUUUUGGGAGUCGACUACACUACUCAGGGAGUCUCUAGGGCCCUACCAUGGCCCAAGCCACCUCUAGAAUUCCACAGUUGUGAGGAGGCCCGGCCUCAGGAAGUCAGAUGGGUUCCUCCCUCCCACCCCUUCCCUCCCGGCUGCGGUACCUGGCAGAGGCCACCCCGUGACCCGAAGGGUAAGGGGGAGUUGCCGGAGCGCUCGGCACCGCUAUGUAACCAGAAACCUGUUUCCUUGAGUGAAGGAAGGGGAAAGGAGUCCUGGGUCUCCUCCCUUUCCUGGCAGGCAUGUGAGUGGAAAGAGGCAGUUUUAGAAAGAUGAUCUGGGGCUGAGCUGCUUCUCGGGCCCUUUCUGCCGCUCUCUGAGCAGCCCAGGGCCUGGAGCACAAAUCUGUCCGACGGCCCCCAUGCCAGCCAGGGGAAUGACAGCAGCCAGGAACUCCGCUCCAGGGGUACUCACUUCCAGGCCAGCUGUUCCUGCAACCGCCCCGUGGUGUCCUGUGCGCGCCACCACUCCACUCUUUAUGACAGCCUGGUCCCCACCUUCCUUUGCCCUUCAACAAAUCCGUGAGUGCACACGUGUGCAUAUCGACAUGCAUGUGGAUCUGCUCAGUAAGAAGGGAUUUGGUUCCUGAAAGUGGGCUAGGAGGCAACAGCCUUUCUACUGAAGUCAGUUUGGUGUCCACAAACUGACAAAUCCUAUCCCUGCCUUUGCCUUUCCUGCGCAAGGAAAGACAUCUAUGACAUUAGGCAAAAGAGAGAGAGACAUGUAACUCAGAAGGACACGGAAUGAAUAGCUAGACAGUAACCUGUUCACUCUUGGUUUCAAAUAUAUCACCCACCUCCUUUGGACCCUACAUGAAUCUCACACUAGUGGUGUAUGAUGUUGUUCUUGUCCCCACUGAAGACAUCCAGAGCUCUUGUAAUGGGGCAGCCCUUGCAUAGGAUCAGGAAACCCCAGCUGACAGCCAAGGAUACAGUGACAGUUAUGAGGACGUCCAGGCUGGACCCCAGGAAAAAUACAGCAAUGUCAAGCACCCAUUUUCAGCAGGACCCGCUGUCCCCAGCCUCACAAGAGGGCCACAACUCAGAAUUCCUGCAUCCCAGCAGUGGUGGGGACAGGGACUAGCAGGCCCUGAAUCCCUGCCUCACAUCCACAUCUGGCCAGGAGGGGGAGCACGAGCACCCGUUUCAUUCACCCCCUUUCAGUCAGGGCAAUGCUCCAAACGGGCCUCCAACAACGGGAUUCUGAAAGCUGGACAAAGGAGCUUCAUGUUUCUCUUCUCUACCUCCACAACCCACAAGGUUGUCUGAUGAGACUGUACCUGUCUUGCGGGGGGGGGGGGGCCCUCCCCUCUUGAAACACUAAAAGCAGUUUCUUUGCGAGGGACUGCCACCAAGAUGCCCUCUCCUUAGGGCAGCCCGCUUCUAAGUGAUCUGCACUCAAACGUCAGUUUCUGAGGAGCCCAGCCACUGCCACAGGCACCUGGUGUGCGCGUUAUUUCCUAUUUAUCACAGCGACCACGUUACACGGACACCAUCCUCUCCCCACCUGAAAGUGAGGUCCAGAAAGGUUCUUGGACUCACUCAUGGGGCCGAGGGAAGACACCUUCACUUGAAGGCCACAGGCUGUAAGCUUGAGAGAGGAAUGUAUGCCGAGUUAAGAGCACUCAGAGAAAUGGGCUGUCUGGCUGCGGGACUCUAGGGCCCUGCUGCUGGGCCUCCUCCAGCUGACCUCCUCCUUCCUCCUUCCUCCGAGUCCUCAGAGCAGAGGGCUUUUCCUGGGCGGCCAUGCUUCAGGUGACGGGCUUGCAGGCCAGAAGCUGCCAAGGCAAGACUAAGCCUCUACAGUCACUUCACUUAUUAUUCUUACGGCCUGUUGGGAGCAAGAUAACCUCCUUUUUCUUUUGUGGCUUCUGAGAAGAUGACACAUGGAAAUUCUGACAGAAGUUUCCCCAAAUCCUCCAGUUGACUGAGACCACAUGGAACAUCUAUUGUUUUUUGUUUCUGUUUUUCUCAGGCUCCUUUUCUCCAUCUUUCCUUCCCACAUCAAAUACUGUUUCGAGAAUAAAGGGGUAGAGCUAGAACAAGCCUGCAGGAGUUCACAUGCAGCCCGCUCCAAGAGCGGCUAGGGAAUAAUUACUGGCAUGCACUGGAGGGGAGCCAGGCAUCCUUCCGGGGACCCCA